AAUUAGAAAGUCAUAAAACUUAAAGCAAUGCAUGAAAUGAAUUUUUAAACAAUUUUUGGGCCACAAAAUAUUAUGCUGUACAGUUGCACAGUGUGCAUUGUGACUAUAUUAAGAUUUUGUCUUUUUAUUUGUACUUUUUAUUUUACACUUGCAGAAUGCUUGUGCUGUAUAACAUCAAUCAAGAAGUAAUGGGAAGAUGCUUCAAGCUUAUUCGCCAAGCAACAAACCUAGCAAUGAGCACUAUAUCAACUACUGAUUUAUUAAAUUAUGUCAAGGUAUUGCACUAAUCUUGGUCUUUCAUUACCAGUUUAGAAAACAGCUAGCUUCAUUAUACAAAAAACUGUUGAGUAAUGAGCUUGAUCUUGCUCCAAGAUUUUGAUGACCUUUUAGUUGAUUUAAUAUCAGGACUACUUUUGAAGGAUUUAAAUGAGGAAUUGUACAUGAGAAUCACUUUGAGACUACUAAAAGAAUUCUUGUCACAAUGGCUCCUGAAACAU